CCGCGCCUCUCAAGUUCGCGCAGAGAACUGCCAAGUCAGUUCCGGUCCGGCAGAGAACGCGGAGAGACGCGGAGCGCCGCGAGCUCCCCCUGGGCCCUCCAGGCCCUCCGGCCCCGGGCUGGCGGGUGAGCUGGGGGGCCCCGGGACAGGCUGUGCCCUCUGCCCUUCAGACACUGGAGGCCUCCGCUGUGGCUGCCCACUGGCCUGGCCAGGCUCAGGCCUUGAAGCCGUGGUGAACCUCUCUACCCCACCCCACUUCGGUGAUUGAUGGCGGCGGCGGCUUCUCCCAGCCAGUACCCCAGCCUGGACCCUGCUGGCCACUGGGUCUCCCGGCCCAAGUGUGCCAGGUCUCGACAGAGCCCCAGCUGAGCGGCCCGGAUGCAACGCCUUUGGGUGGCGGCGGGAGGGGUGGACCAGGAAACAUGGCGGCCGCUCGAAUGCUGCGCAGCGGAGGCCGUUAGGUCAUAGAGGGCCUGGGAAGGCGGCCUAAGGACGCAGGCAGGCUCGACUGCCUUUGUAGGCCACGGAGCCAUGCAGAUCCGGGUCCCCAGUGACCACUCCGUCCCCAUUGGGCGAGACCUACCUAGUCCUGACGACAACGGACAAAGGCCUUAACAGGCCUGGGAGGUGAGCGAAGUUCCGAACGACGACGGGUGGAACGGUUAGCGGUCAUCGGGCUGUUAGUCUUCAUUCUACCAGACCUUGCUGUCGGAAGAGAGAAACGGUAGAAUGACAGGCGAUGUUUGGCCCGUUGGAAAUGCCCACCACCCUCUGGGAAGAUUUACUGGCCGUUUAUGGAAGGCCUGUGUAUAUAAUAUGAAAAAGCUGCUCUCAACUCCACCCCAACCUUUUAAUAGAAAACAUUUGUCACAUCUAGCUCUUCUAGAUGUAAAGAGGUUGCCGACGUAUGAUAAAGUAGAGUUAGAAAACCACACAUCUUGUAAAUUCUCGUUUGUUUAAAAGAAAUCAUAGAAAAUACAUGUCUUCUGGAGAUGACUUUUGGAAAUGGAGUUGUUAGAUGGCCUCUGGAAGUGAUACAUCCAUGUUUGUUCAGUGGGUUAGAUGACGUGGAGCUGGAAGACCUGAAAAGGAGGAGAAGGAAGCUCUAUGCUAGACUGGUCAUAUUUAGAAGACAUUUUCAUAUUCUAGCCAUUGUUUUGUGUGCAUUUUAUUCUUCACUACUGUAUAUAUAGUUGACAAUGCUAAACUUUUUUGAAACGUCUGUUUUUAGAUGUUCUGAAGUGCCUGAUGUUAAAAUUAGAGGACGUAAAAUCAGAUUUUGUAAAUAUCUUUUUGUUACAAUUUGUAGGAAAUGUUUUUUUGCGGGGAAUGGCCAAAUCACCUGUUGAGUAAUACUCAGUGUGUGUGCAGUGGUUCAGGGGAGGAGGGAGGAAGGGGAGGUGCAGAGAGUUCUAUGCCACCCUGCUUACAGCAAGGCAAGAUGAAUUAUUAUCUCUGUGCAUUUUGUUUUAUUUACCUGUGCAUAUAGUGUACAUAAAGGACAAAUGAGUCCCAACUUUAACAACAUCUGGUCUUUCUAGAUGUUAAAGAGGUUGCCAGUGUAUGACAGAAGUAGAGUUAGUAACUUGUACAUUUUGUACAUGUUUUGUACAUUUUGUUUUACAAGUCUAGGAAAGAUUGUCUUCUGAAAAUUUGAGCAUUCUUGCCCACUGGGUUGAUGGAGAUGGGAAGGGUUCUAGGCCAGAAUGUUCACAUUUGGAAGGCUCUUUCAAAUUAUAACUGUUAUUACAUGUUUGCAGUUUAUUCAAGACUGCUGUGUCAUAGUGGACAAAUUAACUCCUUACUUGAAACAUCUAGUGCCCGAUGUAUGUUAAAUGUAGAGGUAGUAAAAUACCACUUUGUAAAUAUCUUUUUACUAAAAUUCAUAGGAAAUACUUUUGGAAAUUGAAUUGUGAAGCCACCUUUGUGAGCAGUAUAGUACUGUCUCUAUACUCGUUCAAUGGUUUAGAGGAGGUGGGAGGGAAGAAAUUGCAAACGGUAAUAUUCUAGUGUGUUCAACACUUGGACAUUUCAGACACUUUUUCUGUAGGUUUUGUGCAUUUUCUUUUGCUCUGUAUAUAGUGUAUAUAAUGGACAAUGAGUCCUAAUUUUUCAACAUCUAGACUCUAGAUGUUAAAGAGGUUGCCAGUGUAUGACAAAAUAUUUAGUAAAAUCAGUAUAUUUUGUACCCUUUGUGAUAAAAUUCAUAGGAAAACUUGUCUUCGGUAAACGACUUUUGCGUUGGAAUUUGUUCAGUCAUCUCUAAGCAUUACACAUGCCUAUACUUGUCCAAUGGAUUGAAGGCAGAGAAGAAAGAGAGGAGGGGAUGAUUCAAGGCCAAAAUGGUCAUAUUUAGAAGAUACCUCAGAUGAUAACCAUUGUUAUGUGUGUGCAAUUUUAGUUAACAGUGCUGUGUACAUGGUGGACAAGUUAUAUGAAAUAUCUAGUCUUUCUAGAUCUUUGGAAGUGCUUGGUGUAUUUAAAAGUAGUAGUAGAAUAACACUUUUUGUAAAUAGCUUUUAAAAAGUGAUGGGAAAUGCUGUUGGGAAGUGGAAUUGUGGAACCACCUGGCAGGUGGGAGGGAAGAAGUUACAAAAGGUGUUUUGCCAUUGUUUAUUAGAAAAUUUCAGCUUAAUCCAUUGCCUAUAUGUUACAUGCAUUUCAUUUAACUUUGCUAUACUGUAUAUAUUAUGUAUAUACUGGACAAAUGAGUCCCAAUUUUAUAAUAUCUAGUCUCUAGAUAUUAAAGAGGUUGCCAAUGUAUGACAGAAGUAGAGUUAGUAAACUAACACAUCCUGUAUACUUUGUUAAAAUUCAUAGAAAGGCUGUCUUCUGAGAAAGACUUUCGGAAGUGAAGUAACAUCAGCUCUAAGUGACACAUGUGCCUGUAUCCACCAGGUUGGUGGUGGUGAAGAGUUGGAAGGAACGAAGAGUUCUAGACCAGAAUGUUCCUAUUUAGAAGACACUUUCAUAUAUAACCAUUGUUACAUGUGUGUAGUUUAUUCAACACUACUGUGUAUAUAGUGGACAAACUUAAGUCCUAAUUUGAAACAUCUAGUCUUUCUAGAUGUUUAGAAGUGCACAAAGUAUGUUAAAAGUAGAGGUAGUAAAUAACACAUUUUGUAGCUGUCUUUUUGAUAAUAUCAUCUUUUGGAAAUUGAUCUGUUCUCUGAGCAGUACAUUAUGAUAUCUGUGCAGGUUCAAGGAGAAGGAGGAGCAUAAAGAACUUUCCACCAGUGUGUUUAUGAUGAGGCACAUUGAUCAUUGUCCCUUAUGUCUGCAUUUUCAUUAACUGUGCUGUGUAUAUAGUGUAUAUAAGCGGACAUAAGAGUCCUAAUUUACAUCUAGCCAAUGUUAAAGAGGUUGCCGUUGUAUGACAGAAGUAGAGUUAGUAAAUUCAAUACAUUGAGUAUAUCUUGUGUUAAAAAUCAUAGGGAAGACUUCUUAAAAACAGAAGUGAAAUUGUUAAAAUCCCCCCUAAGCUGUCCAUGGAGUUGGUAGAGGUCAGAAAGGGAGGUAGGUUCUAGGCCAGAAUGUUCCUAUUUAGAGGACACUCAAAUUACAGUCUGUGUUAUGUAUACAUUUAUUCAAUGCUACUGUGUACAUAAUGGAAAACUUCAGUUGGAAAUAUCUAGUCUUUCAUUGGAUGGUGAUGGGUAGGGGAGGAAGAGAUAUGCAGGGAGAAGGGUUCUGUGCCCCUGAGAUUAGUUCAGCUGGUCUAACCAUUGUUCUCUGUGCAUUUUACUUAAUAUUAUGUAUUAAAGGAUAAACAAGUCAAUACUCAGAGUAUGUUAAAAAUACAUAUAGUAAAUCAGUCCCUUUAUGAAUAUCUUUUUGUUAGUUUUUAAGAAGGCCUGUCUUCUGGGAGUGACCUUUAUUAUUAGUCCACCUCUUGGAGCCAGACAUCCUAUACUUAGUCACUGGGGAUGGUGGAAGAAGGAGAAGACAGGGUGAAGGGAAGGGCUCUUUACUAGUAUCUCCAUAUCUAGAAGAUGGUUUUAGAUGAUAACCACAGGUCUAUGUAAGUGUUUUUAGUAAAGUGUCUGUGUUUAUUGUGGACAAAGUUCAUUAUUUUGCAACAUGUAAGCUUUAUGAAUGUCUGGGGUGACAACAUAGAGUUAGUGAAUUAGCCAAUUUGUAAAUACCUUUGUUGUAAUUGAUAGAAAAGAUGCAUCUUGGACAUGGAAUUGUAAGCCACCUCUGAGCAGUAUAUGUCAGGACUUGUUCAUUAGUUGGCAGCAGAGGGGCAGAAGGAACUCUAAAGGGAGAGAUGUAUGCAGAUGUGUCCAUAUUUACAUUUUGAUGCUAGCCAUUAAUGUAUGCGUCUCUUGUGGCUGUACUAUAGGAAUAUAUUAAAUAAUUCAAUGGAAAUAUACCUUACUAAUAUUUUAAUAGCAUAGAUCUGCUAAUGAGCUCUCUUAGAAGCGUAAUACUUAGUGUAUUCUGUUGCUGUAUGCUUCCUUUUAAAUUGAGCAUUAAGGGAAUGCAGGAUUUAAAUCGGAACUCUGCCAAUGCUUUUAUCUAGAGGCGUGUUGCCAUUUUUGUCUUUAUGAAAUUUUUAUCCCAAGAAAGACAGGAUUACAUUUUUUUUUUUUAACAGACUGAGUUGGUGUAGUGUAUUUUUGGUUAUCAAAAUGCUCAUAUAGCUUUGGGAUUUUGAAUUGGUAAAUAUUCAUGAUGUGUGAAAAAUCAUGAUACAUACUGUACAAUCUCAGUCCCAUAAAAUUGGAUGUUGUGCCUGUAGACGCACAGGACCUAGAAGAAUGUGUCAAACUAUAAACUGCUUGUGAUUGUGACUUUGUUAUUUGAUUCUCGUGUUUUUCAGUUUCCUCUUAUGUACUUUUUAAAAGUAAAAGUUAUUUUAAAAACAUGUAUUAAGCCCUCGUUGCUUGUAGAAUAAAGUUAGUAUACUUCACAGAA